GAUGAACGCUAGCGGCAGGCUUAAUACAUGCAAGUCGAGGGGCAGCAUGAAUGUAGCAAUACAUUUGAUGGCGACCGGCAAACGGGUGCGGAACACGUACACAACCUUCCUAUAAGUGGGGAAUAGCCCAGAGAAAUUUGGAUUAAUACCCCGUAACAUAAUGAUGUGGCAUCACAUUCUUAUUAUAGCUUCGGCGCUUAUUGAUGGGUGUGCGGCGGAUUAGAUAGUUGGCGGGGUAACGGCCCACCAAGUCUACGAUCAGUAGCUGAUGUGAGAGCAUGAUCAGCCACACGGGCACUGAGACACGGGCCCGACUCCUACGGGAGGCAGCAGUAAGGAAUAUUGGUCAAUGGACGCAAGUCUGAACCAGCCAUGCCGCGUGAAGGAUUAAGGUCCUCUGGAUUGUAAACUUCUUUUAUCUGGGACGAAAAAAGGCUAUUCUUAGUCACUUGACGGUACCAGAUGAAUAAGCACCGGCUAACUCCGUGCCAGCCGCCGCCGUAAAAC
rnacentral:rRNA from 1 species